rnacentral:rRNA from 1 species
GAUGAACGCUGGCGGCGUGCUUAACACAUGCAAGUCGAACGGAAAGGCUCCUGCUUGCAGGGGUACUCGAGUGGCGAACGGGUGAGUAACACGUGGGUGAUCUGCCCUGCACUUCGGGAUAAGCCUGGGAAACUGGGUCUAAUACCGGAUAGGACGAUGGUUUGGAUGCCAUUGUGGAAAGUUUUUCGGUGUGGGAUGAGCUCGCGGCCUAUCAGCUUGUUGGUGGGGUAAUGGCCUACCAAGGCGUCGACGGGUAGCCGGCCUGAGAGGGUGUACGGCCACAUUGGGACUGAGAUACGGCCCAGACUCCUACGGGAGGCAGCAGUGGGGAAUAUUGCACAAUGGGCGCAAGCCUGAUGCAGCGACGCCGCGUGGGGGAUGACGGCCUUCGGGUUGUAAACUCCUUUCGCUAGGGUCGAAGCGCAAGUGACGGUACCUGGAGAAGAAGCACCGGCUAACUACGUG